rnacentral:sRNA from 1 species
AUUAUAAAGAGCGUGGACGGAG